rnacentral:rRNA from 1 species
GACAGAGGGUGCAAACGUUGUUCGGAAUUACUGGGCGUAAAGCGCGUGUAGGCGGCCUUGCAAGUCGGGCGUGAAAUCCCAUGGCUCAACCAUGGAAGUGCACUCGAAACUGCAGAGCUAGAGUCCUGGAGAGGAAGGUGGAAUGCUUGGUGUAGAGGUGAAAUUCGUAGAUAUCAAGCGGAACACCGGUGGCGAAGGCGGCAUCCUGGACCAACACUGACGCUGAGGAGCGAAAGCCAGGGGAGCAAACGGG